rnacentral:misc_RNA from 1 species
AACGCAUCUUGCACCAUAUGAGCAAUUGUAUGGUAUACCUGUUUGAGAAUCGUAAACCUCCUCACUUGCUUGCAAGUGGAUGUGUCGGUGUUAUGCGCGCUCUGCGUGCGUAUCCGAUUAAAAGGAUCAGGUCUGGAACAGGCUGGUGGCCUGGGACACUAUGUGCUAGAGACCUACAGCGGCCGAUUGGUCGACUGUGUCUUCUCAUGGUGCGUCCCGGGUCAUUCAAGCUAGCCUGGAAAGGGUCUUGAACUGCGCUUGGCUUCGUGUCAAGGCAACCUUCUCUUUGAUCUCAAAUCAGGUAAGGCUACCCGCUGAACUUAA